AGUUAGUUAUUCACUGCAACCAAGUGCAGAUCAUUUCCACUUACUUUACCAUCUAACUGUGAAGAUUAUUAAGGAAAAGGACUUUUUCUUCUUCUCUCUUCUAACAUGUUAAACUAAGAACCUUCCCACUGUGAACUACUGGCAUCUUACUUUUUGACCCCUUGACAAGAAGAACUGGAGUUACCAAAAUGCUGUCAUUUAAGGUGUUGGAGUGGAAACCAGAACAUUACCUAUUAUCAAGAAGGGGUUUCUUCUAAGGCAUUCAGGGCACUCAGAAACAUACAUCUAAGGAAAGAUUCACUUAAAAACCAGCCAAGACACAGUCAUAUAAUUGGGAUCUCCAGGGCCCUGAGUAAAGACAGUCUCCUCCCACUUCAUCGUCGGUAAAUCAAACUCUCCACAGAUGGGCAUUUCCAGGUUUUCCUGUGAGUUUCUUGCACCUACAGAGCCUGGCCAAAUACUACAAUCCUGAAGGCCCAGAAACACUGGGAAUGCACAAGGGAGUUCGACUAAACAUGAGGCUCUGCGCCUUCUCACUCGUCUUCAGAAUAGUUUGUGGAAAGUCCCCUUGCCCUCUGCCCCAGCUCGGGUAUGCCACCUGCCCUCAGUCCAGCCUUGGUGGCCUCAACCAAAUUUAGAUGCGUAAUGCCACGUGCGGUUAAUGGAUGGUACCAAAAGGGCGCGCGGCUUCUAUCUCCGCCAGCGCCGCUUUGUUACCUCUGACAACCACUCGAGGCUGGGAAGAGACCUGUGUCGUUUCCACUCAGCUCCAGCCCAGCAACUAAGUACAUUCAUACUAGGGACAUCAAUCUCAGAUGCCAAAGCCUGGAGAUUUGCAUUGCAAAUAGGCGAACGUGGUGACAUUUCACCACUGGGAGCAGAACCUGAGGCAUCUUCCUCUGUGAGAGCUAUGGGGGGGGAAUCCACUUUGUAGUCAAAUUGAGUGCAGAAGGAAGGCAAGAGGGAGGGCAGAAAUUGGACCACUCUAAUUUUGAACGACAGAAAGAAUAUUGAUUUUUGAAAUAUUGUGGUCACUUUUUUUUUUUCCCAAACCAUGGGCUUUUCCUCCAGUACUGAGAUCAGCUUUCUGCAUUUCCGCUUCCAACCCAUAAACCCAUAGCUGAGGCCCAGCUUGUGUAUAUGUAUCCUAUGGACUGCCUUUUCCUGACCCGUGUCUUCUGGAAGGGUUUACUUAAUUAUUUUUUUCAAUUCUUAUGUCCCAUUCAGAUGUCUCACUUCUGUAAUUCUCUAUCAUUUAAAAUCUUUAACAAGGAUUCUUAUACAAAAUGGUGAUAAACAUAGAAUACUUUUAUUUGAGCAUUAAAUAAGUUACUGUAUAGAAAGGGUUUUGUGCUUGAUGCGUCUUAGCUAUUAUUGUCUUGUUAUUUUGUUAGGGCAGUUAUUUUUCUAGGAGGCAGUGUUGGGGGUGGAGAACCUGGUUUUGACAUAGAAAGAUCCGGGUACCAGGCCGGGCGCGGUGGCUCACAUCUGUAAUCCCAGCACUUUGGGAUGCUGAGGCGGGCAGAUCACGAGGUCAAGAGAUCGACACCAUCCUGGCCAACAUGGUGAAACCCUGUCUCUACUAAAAAUACAAAUAUUAGCUGGGCAUUGUGGCGCAUACCUAUAGUCCCAGCUACUCAGGAGGCUGAGGCAGGAGAAUCGUUUGAACUCAGGAGGUGGAGGUUGCAGUGAGCUGAGACUGCGCCACUGCACUCCAGCCUGGUGACAGAGCGAGACUCUGUCAAAAAAAAAUAAAAAGAGAAAGAAAGGAAGGAAGGAAGAAGGGAGGGAAGGAGGGAGAAAGGAAGAAAGGAAGAAAGGAGGAAAGGAAGAUCUGGGUACGAAUCUUUACUACUCUCCCAAGUUUAUGACUUGACUUCAGACAAGUUACUUAACAUCUACAACUGGAGUAUGCAAAUAUAAAAUGGGGAUAAAUAUAGCACUUACUUUCUAAUGUUGUUGUAGGAAUUUAAUGUUGGACAUAAUGGGCUUAGCCCAAGGACUUGCAAAUACUAAGGGCUGAUGAAGAACUGGAUAUUGUUAUUUAAUUAUAUACUGUCCUGCUGAAUAGCCUCAUGUUCGUGGAUUUGUAGUAAGACAGACCUGGUUUGGAUUCCAGACCUGCUGCUCAGUUGCUGUAGAACGUAUUGAAACCUUCAGAGACUAAUUUUUCUCAACUGUAAAAUACAGAUGUUAAAUCAUAUCUCAUGUGGUUGUGUGUUAGAACACUGAGGCUGCUAUAACAAAAUGCCAUAGACUGGGGAGCUUAAAAGCAACAUAAGUUUAUUCCUCACAGUUCUGGGAAUUCCAAGACCAAGGCUGCAGCCUGUGGAUCAGGUGUCUGGUGAGGGCCCACUUUGUGGUUUAUAGAUAGAUGGCGCCUGCUCAGUGUAUGUUUGUGUGGUGGAAGGGGCUAGCUAAUUGUCUAGGAUCUCGUUCAUAAGGGUGCUAACCCCAUUCGUAAAAGCUCUGCCCUCAUGACCUAAUCACUUCCCGAAAGCUCUACCUCCUGAUACCAUCACAUUGGGGGUUAGGUUUCAACACAGGAAUUUGAGGGGGAAGGCAAGGCGCAAACAUCCAGACCGUAGCAAAUUGUUUUGAAUAUUAAAUGAGAUAAUAUGGGGCCAACAUCUGGUAACAUGUUUUUAAAUUUUGUGUUAUUCAAACAGUAUAAAUUGUAUACAGUUUGGGAUCGAACUGCAGCUACUCCCCUCCUCCCCCUUCUUUUUCUAUUAGAACUCCAUCUUAUUACAGUGGUACUCUCAACGUGGCCUAGGAACCUGACACUCUUUCAGGAUUUUGUGAGGUCAAUACUAUUUUCAUAGUAAUACCAAAAUAUUAUUUACCUUUCCUACUAUCAUUUUCACACAACUGUACAGUGGAGUUUUCCAGAGAACGCAUGGGAUGGUCAUCACCUUGAAGCUAACAUGUGAUGGGUUUACAAUUGUCCAUUUUAAAAUAAGUGUUUAUAAAUGAAAUCAGUAUGCUGAAGAGAUAUCUGCACUCUCAUGCUCAUUGAAGCAUUAUUUGCAAUAGCCAAGACAUGGAAUCAACCUAAGCAUCCAUCAACAGAUGAACAGAUAAAAGAUAAUGUGGUAUAUAUACACAAUGGAAUACUAUUUAGCCUUACAAAGAAGGAAAUCUUGUCAUUUGCAUCAACAUAGAUGAACCUGGGGGACUUUAUGCUAAGUGAAAUAAGCCAGACAUAGGAAGACAAAUACCCCAUGGU
rnacentral:lncRNA from 1 species